GCUGGGCAUGGUAGCACAUACCUGUAGUCCCAGCUACUCAGAAGCUGAAGUAGGAGAACUGCUUGAGUCUAGGAGUUCUGGGCUGUAGUAUGAUAUGCUAACCAGGAGUCUAAGUUCAGCAUCAAUAUGGUGACCUCCCGGAAGUGAGGGACCACCUGAUUGCCUAAAGAGAGGGGAACUGGCCCAGGUGAGAAAUGAAGCAGGUCAAAACUCCUGUGCUGAUAAGCAGUAGGUUCAUGCCAGUGAAUAGCCUCUGCAUUCCAGCCUGGGCAACAUAGCAAGACAUUGUCUCU
rnacentral:SRP_RNA from 1 species